UAUUCUACAGACUGAAGCUAUAGAGGUAAAAAUCCAUGAUCCCUACUGCCCUUUAAGAGGUUACUAUUGGCGGGAGAGGGUAUAGCUACAGUGGUAGAGCACGUGCUUAGCAUGCACAAGGUCCUGGGUUCAAUCCCCAGUACAUCCUCU